CCACUUUCCCCUUCCACUCAUAGAUGGAGGUGACGCGGGGGACGAUGUUGACGCACGCUGCCAACUUCUGCUCCACCAUCGCCCUCGCCAUCCUCGCAGCCACGUCCUCAUUGGGACAGGUGACGAAUGCAGCGGAAACGCUCCCGGCUGCGUACGAAUCCCCCUCAGCCGCCACGGCCGCCAUCCGCCGGCACAGCGACCGCAGCAACGGCACCGCCGGCACCGCCAGCAGCGCCACCGCCAGCGCCGUUCCCGCCCGCACGGCCGCGCUCGUGCCUUUCCGCCGCCC
rnacentral:lncRNA from 1 species